UGGGAAAAGAUGAAUAUAAUCUCAAUGGGGAUGGAGAAUGUACCCCCGGGAAGCCUUCCUGCCUCUUGACCCACAAUCAAUGAACUUUGGGCAGACAGCAGUGCGUCUACACCCCAGCAGGAGAAAGAAAUUUGGUCUGGGCUUACUUUUCAAAGAAUACAUUUCAAAGGUUUACUUGGCUAUAAAAACAGGAGUUCUGAAUCUCUAAUGAUAAGCAAUUGAAUCACCUGCUUAUACACAAUAUUACUGUAUUAUCAAACUGUAUCAAGCAAACUCUUAUGAAAGCCUGCGACACACUGGUGAUUAAUAUCAUUGUGAAAUGUCUGCAUUAAUACUACGUGAGGAAUGAUGAAUAUGCAGUGAUAUUAUGCUUUGAAGUCUGUGACCAAACACAGGGAAAAACAGGUUCUCUCUCAGUGAGGAAGGAAGGCAGGCAACUAUCUACCGGUCUGAAAUAUAAAUUAAGCAUUACUGAAUCAAAACAACAGAAGCCCAUUUACAUACAAAUCAGUAAGGGAUGGGAAGUCAACAGGAAGGGAGGAACAGCAGGAAGCCUUCCUGAUUCUUAUAACAUAGUUAAUGAAAUUUGGGAAAUAUGAGCAGAAACAGAAAGCUAUUUUGGGACCCACAACAUGGGGGAUCAAGCAGCCAGAGCUCUUGAUUUCAAGGUGGUUGAAGUCUCUGGAAACUAAAUACAUGUGUGUGGAUGCCCAGAGAUUGCAAUGUUCACCCUCAAGUCUUUAAGAGUGUGCAACGACUCAUCUGUUUUGUCCAUGAAAAAUUUGGAUCCCUUGAACGGUAAAGCAGAUGAUCCAGAAUAAACUGAAACGAGCCCAUGAAGGAGAACCUCGGCCCACAGCGAACUUCUUCCACUUCAAAAGG